rnacentral:rRNA from 1 species
UACGUAGGUGGCACGCGUUGUCCGGAUUUACUGGGCGUAAAGAGCGCGCAGGCGGUCGUGCAAGUCGCGUGUGAAAGCCCCCGGCUCAACUGUGGAGGGUCACGCGAUACUGCUCGACUCGAAGGCAGGAGAGGGAAGUGGAAUUCCCGGUGUAGUGGUGAAAUGCGUAGAUAUCGGGAGGAACACCAGUGGCGAAGGCGACUUCCUGGCCUGUUCUUGACGCUGAGGCGCGAAAGCUAGGGUAGCAAACGGG